CCUACGGGGGGCAGCAGUGGGGAAUAUUGCACAAUGGGGGAAACCCUGAUGCAGCGACGCCGCGUGGAGGAUGACGGCCUUCGGGUUGUAAACUCCUUUUGUCAGGGACAAUGGUGAUGGUACCUGACGAAUAAGUCACGGCUAACUCUGUGCCAGCAGCCGCGGUAAGACAGAGGUGGCGAGCGUUGUUCGGAAUUACUGGGCUUAAAGGGCGCGUAGGCGGUGGUGUAAGUCUGGGGUGGAAUGCUACAGCUCAACUGUAGAGCUGCCUUGGAAACUGCAUUACUUGAGUCGGUGAGGGGAAGGCGGAAUUCCUGGUGUAGCGGUGAAAUGCGUAGAUAUCAGGAGGAAGGUCUGUGGCGAAGGCGGCCUUCUGGCACUUGACUGACGCUGAGGCGCGAAAGCGUGGGGAGCAAACAGGAUUAGAUACCCCGGUAGUC
rnacentral:rRNA from 1 species